UUACGGUUGAGUGGUUUAACUGCAACUUGAACAAGACCUAUAUGAAUAAAAUUAUAACCUUUUUUCUGUGUUUUUUAAUAACUUCAGGAGAUAAAAGACUACAAUUUUCAUAUUCUUUGUUAAUAGCAUAAACCUUUUCAACUGUUUUAACAUUAUAAUCAGUUUUGAAAUUAUCUAAAAAGAUUGACUGAUAAAUUUCUCUUGGAGAUACCCUAGGUAUAUUCCAAUUAUGUAACACUUGACUUAUGUUUUCAUAAGUAUGUUCUUCUUGGUUUACGAUGUCAGGGACAAGAGGCAAGGCUGACCUGUUACUAACUGAAGAGCUAGAUCUGAAUAAUCUACUCAUCUUGACUGUUUUCAAAAUAAAAUCUGACUCAAGGUUCGUUCAUGUAUACCCCCAUUUACCCUAAGUAGACUCAUACCUAUGUUCUAUAACCCGACACUGCUCACACCCUGGAGACUUACAAAGGUUAGACACGAACUAGGUGGACUACAGGUAAGUAAGGUGACUUCAGAACUCUGAGGAAGAAGAUGAUUUUGAAAAAGUAAAGAGAAGUUUGAUUAAAAAGAUCUUACUAAACAGUUACUAACAACUAGGACUGAGCAAAAAACGGAUAUAACCGAAUUACAGAACCGAACCGAAAUAAUUUAACCGUUUUUUUUGCUAAUUCGGUUAAUUUUAACAUUUCGGUUAUAACCGAAAUUAUUUACGAUUUUCGGUUAGUUUGUACGGGUAUCGUUUUUGGAUUAUUCGGAUAAACCGAAUAACCGAAUAAAGUUUACAAAAUUGAGAUAAUAAUAUAACCGAACAAAUUGAACAGUCACCUUCAUAUCAUAAAGUUGCUAUGGUCUACUAUUUAUGGUCUACUACUCUACUUUAUAUUAUAAAAUUGCUUUUAGUAAAGUAACCGACUAGAUCUAGACUUCUAGUGCCCCAUACUCUCUCAGAUCUCCAAAUUUAACAGUCAUCUUCAAAAUCAAAUGCUCCACAGCUUUUAGUAAAGUACCGAUCUGCAGGAAAAAGUCUUCGCACCAUGUUGGACGGACUCAAUGCCCCGCACCCAUUUUUUCUCUUCCCUCACCUUCACUCUCAUGCUCCACAGCUGCUUCACUCUCGCCGGUCCGGUGGCCGUGACUCGGUUCUGCCAUCAUCUGAUCUAAAAAAUUCGAUCUGUUUUCAACAUUAACUGCAAUAAGAUAGAAAAUUUGUUUCAAUCUCACUGCAUGUGACUCUUCAAUUUUGGUAUGGAUAACAUUAGAGUCGAUUUAUGCAUUUUGUGGAAUCAUAAUUUUGGGUCACUUUUUUUUCAAUCUCACUGCAUUUUAUUUUUGCUUCAAAAUUCUGGUAAAUUUCACUACUGGUAAAUUUUGUUUCAAUUUUGGAAUCGGUCAAUUUUGUUUCAAUCUCGCUGCAUGUUAUUUUUGUCCAACAUUAAUUGCAGUGUUCGAUUAUUAACCGAAAUACCGAAUUUAUAAUUCGAUAAUUCGGUAUUCGGUUAUUCGGUUAUUACCAAAAUUCGGUUAUUAGUUCGGAUAUUAAAAAUAGGAAUAUUUCGGUUUUCGGUUAUAACCGAAUAGUCUAUUAGGUUCGGUUAUAACCGAAUGAUUAGUCCUACUAACAACAAACAACUUGGCUCUGAUACCAAAUGAUUAAGGAAGAUUGGAAUUUCCUCAUAUUUUGGAUGAUAAUUACUAUAUUGAUUGAAAUGAUCAAGUUGUUCCAAGAGAGCCUUAGGAAGGAUCUCAUGGCACAACCCAAUUCUUGUCCACUACAGGGUGAACCAUUUAGGGAUUUGACUUUUAAACUUGUGGUCGAAUUGCACAAACCACGAAUGACUAAAAUCUUCAUUUUUGGUGAAGAAAAAUCUUAUACCAGGCUUCCAUAUAAUCAUAAUAGCAGUAAGAACUGGAAUGAUUAGAAAGAGACCUGAGAUCAGAAGGAUUAAGGAAGAUUGGAAUUUCCUCAUGCGCUCUCUUAUGUUCUUCUCUUCAUCAUCUCAUUCCGUCUCCUUCCG
rnacentral:lncRNA from 1 species